rnacentral:rRNA from 1 species
CACGCCGUAAACGAUGGAUACUAGCUGUUGGAGGUAUCGACCCCUUCAGUAGCGAAGCUAACGCGUUAAGUAUCCCGCCUGUGGAGUACGGUCGCAAGACUAAAACAUAAAGGAAUUGACGGGGAGCCGCACAAGCGGUGGAGCGUGUUCUUUAAUUCGAGGAUAAACGAAGAACCUUACCAGGACUUGACAUCCUUGGAAUUUUGCCGAAAGGCAAGAGUGCUUUAUUGAACCAAGUGACAGGUGCUGCAUGGCCGUCGUCAGCUCGUGUCGUGAGAUGUUUGGUUAAGUCCAUUAACGAGCGCAACCCUUAUGAAUAGUUGAAUUUUUCUAUUCAGACUGCCCCGGUAACGGGGAGGAAGGAGGGGAUGAGGUCAGGUCAUUAUUGCCCUUACGUCCUGGGCUAGAAACGCGCUACAACGGCCGGUACAAUGCGCUGCAAAGCGGUGACGUGGAGCAAAUCGCAUCAAAGCCGGUCUCAGUUCGGAUAGCAGGCUGAAACUCGCCUGCUUGAAGUUGGAAUCGCUAGUAAUCGCAAGUCAGCAUAUUGCGGUGAAUACGUUCCCGGCUCUUGUACUCACUGCCGUCGGACCGGUACG